AUACGUAGGGGGCGAGCGUUAUCCGGAUUUAUUGGGCGUAAAGCGCGUGUAGGCGGUUUGUUAAGUUUAAGAUUAAAGCCCGAGGCCUAACCUGGGUUCGUCUUUAAAUCUGGCAGAAUUGGGGGGAGGUGAGGCAAGGGGGAAUUCCAGGGGUAGCGGUAAAGUGCGUAGAUAUCGGGAGGAACACCAGUGGCGAAGGCGGCCUUCUGGGCCGUUCCUGACGCUCAGACGCGAAAGCUAGGGUAGCAAACGGGAUUAGAGACCCCGGUAGUCCUAGCCGUAAACGAUGCAAACUUGGCGUCGGUGGGUUAAUAUCCAACGGUGCCGCAGCUAACGCGAUAAGUUUGCCGCCUGGGGACUACGGCCGCAAGGUUAAAACUCAAAGGAAUUGGCGGGG
rnacentral:rRNA from 1 species